rnacentral:rRNA from 1 species
AGUGAACGCUGGCGGUAGGCCUAACACAUGCAAGUCGAACGGCAGCACAGUAAGAGCUUGCUCUUACGGGUGGCGAGUGGCGGACGGGUGAGGAAUACAUCGGAAUCUACUUUUUCGUGGGGGAUAACGUAGGGAAACUUACGCUAAUACCGCAUACGACCUACGGGUGAAAGCAGGGGAUCUUCGGACCUUGCGCGAUUGAAUGAGCCGAUGUCGGAUUAGCUAGUUGGCGGGGUAAAGGCCCACCAAGGCGACGAUCCGUAGCUGGUCUGAGAGGAUGAUCAGCCACACUGGAACUGAGACACGGUCCAGACUCCUACGGGAGGCAGCAGUGGGGAAUAUUGGACAAUGGGCGAAAGCCUGAUCCAGCCAUACCGCGUGGGUGAAGAAGGCCUUCGGAUUGUAAAGCCCUUUUGUUGGGAAAGAAAAGCAGCAGGUUAAAACCCCGCUGUUCUGACGGUACCCAAAGAAUAAGCACCGGCUAACUUCGUG